GGCCUUUCUAGGAGCCAGCUUGCUUUCAUCUUACUGUUUUGAUUGUGCCUCACAAGGGACAACACUCCGAUUGUCUAGGAGGAGGAAGGUCAGGGACAGAAAAGUAAAAGCCAGGAGCAGCCUGUCCUGUCUGCCUGGGCUGCUGGGGAAUGAUUGUCAGUGAAUCGAGUUGUCUGUGGAGCCCCUGAGCAAAUUCUCCCAGUGGCAGCAGAUCUCGCAAAAGGGGAGGAAGGCCUUCACCGCUGAACCCGAGCUUUGCCAUUUCGAAGUGCUGAGUCACCUCGUCCUCUCAGGGUCAGACACUUUCACGCAGGAAACGUCCUGCAGAGCACCGCAGCGGGAGCACCGAGCUGACCUGGAAGGAGAGAACAAGGGCCUUCCUGAGGCAGGACAAGGACCCAGAACUACCCAGAAUGCAGCAGGGCGGCCCCGCACGACUGAGCUCUGAUCCUAACCUGCAAAGUGAAGUUUCAAUUUCCACUUCCUGAGAAGAUGUGGAAACUCAGAGAGGAUGCCACUGUUUUGAACUAUUUUGAAGGCACAGCCACCAGAGCUUUAGGUCAGAAGAGGUCCUUGGAACUGGAAUUACAGGUGGCUGUGAGCCUCCAGGUAGGUGCUGAGAAUCAAGCAGCCUGGCUCCUCUGUAGGAGCUCUAAGGAAUGCUCUUACCUGCUGAGCCAUCUGUCCAGCCCUGAUUGUCCUGGCUGUUAAUUGAGGAAGGAAGACUUACUCUGAGGGAGGGCUGAGCCAGUCCCCAGGCUGCUCCCUGAAUGGUAUGUAGAGGAGGGGAGCCAGCUAAGCACUGACCAGCGAGGGUGUGCACAUUUUCUUUGGUCUUUGUUUUGAAUGUGGUGUGGCUGGCUGCUUCAAUUCCUGACUUGAUUUCCUCAAAAGGAUAGGCUGUAACCCAGAAUGGUAAACUGCCUU
rnacentral:lncRNA from 1 species